CACUAAUUACACUCCACAAGAGCAAACACUGGGCACAGGACUGAAAGCCAAGCCUACCUGAGUUCACUCUGAGCCACUGGAUCCUCCUUUCACUCCUCCUCCUCUCACCUUCACUCAUCUCUCCUUACAGAACAACAUUUAAGGAGAAAAUUUUCGGUUAAAACUUCAGUUCACUUCCGAAAGUCUUGAGUCGACUCCACAGCUGAUUCAGUGAGUCGAUUUACUUCACUUCGCUUCAGUUGACUGAGCUUUAUUCAGAGUCUCGGUGUCUCUGUCAAGAUUCAUUUCCUGGAAUUUUCUCCUCAGUCUGUCGAGACCGAAAAAGUCUGAAGGAAAAGGAAUCAGCUGAAGCUUACAGCAGUACCCACAGAAUGUGACCUGACACACUGGCAGAAGUGUGCCGAAGGCCCUGAUGCCUGUUGAGGGACUUUACACAACGUCUAACGCUCCCGGCUUCUGUGUUACCAUUCCUCAUGUAACAUUAUCACGGUGUUUCUCAUGUCACCUGGAGAGGGGUAAUUAAGAACAUCAAACAACUAUUCCGCAUUACGGAUCUAAGCUAAAACUGUAAAAUUGCUACUACAUACCUGCCUUGUAUGUGCCAGGACCAACCAACCUGGAAAAAUCGCUAAGCAUGAUGCUUUACCUCGUGCCCCAUUCCAGUACCUGCAAGUUGAUUUCACUCAUAUGCCACCCAUAGGCAACUUAAAAUACAUGCUGUUCAUUGUUGACAGACUCGCAAAAUGGGUUGAAACUCUUCCUUGUUGUAAAAAAAUGUGAAAAAAAAAUAUCCUAAGGCACAGAAUUAUAAAUAACUAUUAAAAUUGAUAAUGGAACACAUUUUAGAUCCAAAGUAAGACAAAAACUUUGUCAAUACUUAAAUGCUGAGUGGAAAUUUCACAUUCCUUAUCACCCACAGUCAUCUGGGGUGGUUGAAGAGCAAAUGGAAUGUUGAAAAGAUAGACUAACUACAGCAAGGAUGAAAUGUGGUAAGUCAUGGGUUGAUCUGUCAUCUGCCGUCGUUUGUGAAAUAAGUGACACCCAGAGCGGCUACUAAAUUGUGACCCUAUGAAGAAGCCAUGAGAGUAAAGGGUCAUCCUGGGCCUUGUUUUACAGGUGACCUGGACACAAUCAUGGCUUCUGUGUUACCAUUCCUCAUGUAACAUUAUCACGGUGUUUCUCAUGUCACCUGGAGAGGGGUAAUUAAGAACAUCAAACCAGAGGUGGAAAGAGUACUAAAAUAUUAUACUCAAGUACAAGUACUGUUACUCUGAUGAAAUUUUACUUAAGUACAAGUAAAGUUACCAGACAAAAAAUCUACUCAAGUAAAAGUAAAAAGUAGAUCAUUUAAAAUGUACUUUGAGUAAAAGUAAAACGUUACUUUUAACAAUGGGUGUUUUCUGCCUCCAUUGUGUUGUGCAAAAAUGAAAAAGAAGAGGAAACAAGGAUAUAUGUACAUCUCAACCCAGAUGUUUUAUUUAAAGGAAGUGUAUCAAAUUGAAUGCUUAGGAUAAUGCUGCAUUAAAACUGAGACAAACAAAAAAGGUCAAUACACACAGUCAUGUCGUUUACAUCGCCCUGACCACACACAAAGCAUUGUACACGAAAUAUGAAAGUGAAAUGUCGCACCGAAAUCUUGUAGCUUGCCUGUGUGCACUGUGUGUUAUUGAACAAUUCAAUUCAAACAUUAUUUGUUUUGCUUAGUAUUCCUUUCUGGCCUGUUGGACGUAGAAUGGUAGGAGGACUGAUCACGUCAGGUUGGCGAGCUAACUUGCUUGCAUGAUUAGCCAACCGAAUAACAGACUAGUUACCAUUAUGUUACAGUACCAACAGGUUGCUACUUCAACAUUAGCAAUGCCAUCCACUAUUUUUGGAAUAUAACCAGCCUAUUGUCAGUUUUACUAUGGAAAGGAAACAUUAUGAUCAGGGGUGCAGAUACAUUUUUUGAACUGGGGGGGACAAAAAACUGGGGGGGACAAAGCUGCCAGCAAACCAACCCCGAUAUGCCUGUCAAACUUGUUGUGGGUAACCAUAGCAACCAAGCUCGAGCUCGCAACCUGUGCAGUCUGCGCAGCUCAACCAACCGAAUAUCAGUCUUUGUUUUGUUUUAUGUGAGUUGUUGCAACUAUGUAUGUACUGCUGUGCACCUCAAUAAACCGAAUGGUAAUUAGUCUUUUGAUUUUUCCGUGAGGUUUGCCUUAUGCAAAGAAAGACAGCAUAGACAUUUUUUCCUUCCUAUAAGUGGGGGGGACCGAACGAGGUGAAUUUAAAUCUGGGUGGGACGAAUCCCACCCGUCCCACCCUCUAUCUGCGCCCGUGAUUAUGAUGCCAAUGACAAUACUUACCUCAACAUGCUUGCGCAGAUUAGAUGUUGAAUUUUUGUAUGCCGCAAUGGUUGUCUUCUUGGGCACACAUAAUCUGCAUUGCAUAAUGAAACUGUCACCCCUUUUCUCUACGAAGCUGAAGUGAUCACGUAUGUAGGGCCAGGGGUGCACUUCAUUACUGGAAGAAAUUGCGUUUUCUGCAGGGUCGUCCACCACAGGUUCCUCGGUCUCCUCCAUGUCCGCAGGGGCACUUUAUCAACACCCGUGGCCCAGGGGCUAGGCCCCUCAUAGGCUACCUGUCAACCCUACCCUUACCGUUGGCCAGGAAAACACUCUUAUUUUAUUUGCAAUACGUGUCAAGCAUUUACAUUGUAAGCGCGUAAUUAGCCUAGAAGCCUACGAUAGGUUACGUUUGGCUCAGCGUAGCUGCGCAAGGCCCACGCUCACAUCGCUCAACACAUCCGACCACAGAGGGAGAGAAUAAUGCGUGCAUUAUCAUUACAGAGCCGGUUGUGAUUAUUACCACGGACAGGACAGUGAUACUGCGUAACUUUCACACAGGGGCAUGGCCAGAGAUAACCACACAAGCGCGCGUGUGCUAUAAUGUAGACCUAUGUGUUGUAAACAUAAAACACACACACCUACAGACAAGUCCUUUUAAAAAAUAAAAUACAUAAAAAUAGCUCGGCGGCAUGAAAACAAACAUUCACUGCAAGUCAAGGUACUUGGCUCGGCGGCCGCAUGAAACGUAAACACCAUGGACAGCGGCCAAACUCAUAACUCUACAGACCGAAAUACACGAAACCAAGUCCUACUAGGGUCUAUUUUACCAAUCUAUGUUCAAGCAUCAUGCAAGUCUUCCUUCUCCUUGAAUGAGACCGUGCAUUCAACUGCCUUUUUGACAUGACUGCAUCGAAAUACCACUUGCAACAAUAUUUCACGCACUCCAUCAAGAAAAAAGUUAAACAUGAUGAACACGGGCAUACUGUUUUGAGCAUACGAUUUUUUAAAAAGAAACUAGCUACAUCAAAGUCCUUCAAUAAACCCAUCCUUUAGCGCAAAUGAGCUUAACCUAGUUCAAAGCAUGACACUAGCAGUAGCUGCAUAAGGCAAAAUCGUGUGGGCCUUUCGUCAACGACAAGCCACGGCGGGGAAACAUUAAUAAUCAAGUGUCCUUACCUUAAAACGUUGUCUUGACCACAGAACUUCUCAAGUAUUUCACUUAAAUCCACACGGGUUAACAACACACCCAACACAGCUAGCGAGAAAUGUGGAUAUGCGCUAGCUUUGUAUUGCUAUUCCCCUCAGUAUGCUUACUCUGUCUGCUGCCCGAACUGUGACAAUUAUAGGCUACAAUCUUUUCAUCAAUUUCUUCAGUAGAUGCCAUUUUAGACAUUUUAUUAUCCCCAUCGAAAUAUGCUAUUAUACUAACAGGAUUAUAACUCAAAUCACACAACACGUAUUCAAAUCACAACUGAUUUAUUUUACUGUUGGACAGAUCAUAGCAUAUCUAGCCUAGCUACACAUAGCCUAGCUGCUGGUAGGCUGAUAACUGAUAAGUAGCUGAUAUUCUGAACAGAUUGGUGAUCCUUACCUUAAAAAAGUCUGUGACUUUAGGCAACAAUUCUAUCAUUACCUGCAUCUCUCUCUUUUUUUUCCUUUUAUGCGCCCUGCUAACACGUGAACGCUUCAUCUUUCAAAGCCUCUAAAUUUAUGUCUCUGUAGUCAGUAGUCUUUGGCGCGCUUUCGUGCGUGACGUUACAUUUUGUUAUAUUUUAUUCUGGUCCAGUUGUGGGUGUUCGUUUCGCGAACCACAUCCACCAUGUCUCUUACAGCAGGCUACUGUGCGCUCAUUUAUUUCUAACCUUAUUUCUAUCCGUACAUUAAUGUAGGCCCAUGAUUCCGACAGUUUAUUAUUUUAUUAAUAUUACAAGGCCCCUGAUUGGCUGUGGCCCAGGGGCUUGAGCCCCCCGAACCCCCCCCUUAAAGCGCCGGUGCAUGUCCGCCAUCGUCUGUGUGAGACUCGCGCGCGCGACAACUGUCCUUCCCGUGAUUCAUUUCCAGAACGCAUUUCCCCUUCUCCGUUUUAGCCUUUUUUAAAUUUUUUAUUUAUUUAUUUUUUUACUCAAUAACGGUUGUGAUGUAAAAUGUACCGAAGUACACUACUUAAAAGAAAACAUACUUAAGUAAAAGUAAAAGUACACUCUUUAAAAAUUACUUGAAAAAGUAUAAGUACACAAAAAAGCUACUCAAGUACAGUAACGCGAGUAAUGUAAUUCGUUACUUUCCACCUCUGCAUCAAACAACUAUUCUGCAUUACAGAUCUGAGCUUAAACUGUAAAUUUGCUACUACAUACCUGCCUUGUAUGUGCCAGGACCAACCAACCUGGAAAAAUGUCUAAGCAUGAUGCUUCACCUCGUGCCCCAUUCCAGUACCUGCAAGUUGAUUUCACUCAUAUGCCACCCAUAGGCAACUUAAAAUACAUGCUGUUCAUUGUUGACAGACUCUCAAAAUGGGUUGAAACUCUUCCUUGUUGUAAAAAAAUGCUAAAAAAAAAUGAUCAAGGCUCCGUUCUUGUGCUGACGCUCUUCUCCAUCUUCUGUAGCAUGAUGCUACACCAGGCCAUGGAAGAGCUUGGUGAGGAUGAUGGCAUCUACAAGACAGAGGUGCUUCACCAACUUGCAUCUCGCAAGGUGUAUCAGCCUCGCAUCUGCCCAACUGAACUAAACUCGGUCCAGCAGUUCACUUACCUAGGCUACACAAUCUCAUCGUAUGCCAAGAUUGACAAGGAGAUCGACAACAGGCUUGCCAAAGCAAACAGCGCCUUUGGCAGGCUCCAGAAAAGAAUCUGGGGUAACAAGGACCUAAAGAAGAACACCAAGGUCCUUGUGUACCACGCUGUGGUCCUGACCACUCUCUGUUACGGCUCUGAGGCCUGGGUCACCACCACCGCCACCUGCGCCUCCUUGAGCGCUUCCAUCAGCGCUGUCUUCGCUCCAUUCUUAACAUCCAUUGGCGUGACUACAUCAUGAAUGUUGAGGUCCUACAGAGGGCGGAGGCCACCCUUCUUGAGGCCAUGCUACUGAAGUCACAGGUGCAAUGGGCUGGACAUGUGUCCAGAAUGGAAGAUUAUUGAUUACCCAAGAUUGUCUUGCACGGGGAGCUGUCCUCUGGCUGUCGAAACCCAGGGGCCCCAGUCAAGACGUAUAAAGCUCUCCUGAAGGCUUCCCUAAAGAUCUGCAACAUCAACCCCAACUCCAAGACAUGUCUUGCUUCAGAUCGUGACAGAUGGUGAAAAACUGUUUACAGUGCUGUCAGUUCCUUUGAGGAUGAUUGGAGAGCAAACCUGGAGGACAAAAGGAGCAGAAGGAAAAAUAAACCAAUCACUGCUCCCAACCCUGAUUUCAUGCUGGCCUGCAACGUCUGUGGCUGAACGUGUCUGUCGAGGAUAGGUCUCAUCAGUCAUAAGAGAGCCUGUAGCCGACGUGAACAUUCCCCCUCAUAAAUAUUCAUUUGCGAAUCAAUGCCAAGAGAGAGAGAAGAUAUAUAUAUAAGAAGAAAACGUCAAACCAAGAAGCCUUUAUUGGUCACAUGUACACUCAAGCAUAGACUCAGCACACAGUGAAAUUUAACCUCUGCAUUUAACCCAUCUGAAGCAGUUAACACACACACACAUACAAAUGAGCAAUGAGCACACACACAUACCCACAGUAGUGAGCAACUAUGCUACAUCACCCGGGGAGCAGUUGUGGGUUAAGUGCAUGAAGGGCACUUCAGCACAACCUCAGCACUGUGGCUGCUCCAUGUUAACCUAACUGCAUGUCUUUGGACUGUGGGGGAAACCGAAGCACCCGGAAGAAACCCACACUGACAUGGGGAGAACACACAAACUCCACACAGAAAGGUGCCCGCUGGCUAUGAGGUUAGAACCUGCAACCUUUUUGUUGUAAGGCAACAGCAUUAACUACUUGACCAUCAUGCUGCCCAGGAGUAGUUAGUGGUUAGGUGUCUUGCUCAAGAAGCACUUCAGCCAUUCCUGCAGGUCCAGGGACUCGAACCAGCAGCCUGUUGUCUAACCUUUCGACCACGGCUUCCCCAUGUAAUAAGUCCACUUGAAAUGAUAACAUGAUUACAUGUAAUUCAUCAACUGUAGAAUGUUUAUUUUUUUCUUUUUUUUUCUGUAGGAAAUGAAUCUGCACUAUGCCAGUCUUUCAUACAAGACAGAACCCACUGAGAGAAACACAUCAGAUUUGGACAGAGUGGUAUACGCAGGAAUCAGACAUUUACCAGCCUGACACCUGAUUACAGAUCUGUACGAAUAUAACAAAAAAAAAUUUUGACCUUUAUCAUUCUUAAUAGUGUAAACCCCAUGCUAAUUUAUUUAUCUUGGUUCUGAUCAAUCAGCAGUGUAAACCCUUAGGAAAAAAAAUAUGUCCAAUUCACACAUUUUUAAAAUACUGUAUUAUGUGAGUUAAAACAUUACUAAAAUAAAAUGUAAAGGGCAUUUCAUGUUAUGUCCUGAAGUUACAUGUGUGAACUCAGUGAACACGUGACAGCAUCUGAAUAAUUCCUUAUAUUCUUAAUCCUGCCCUUUUCUGAAGAAUGUUUUCUCCUCAGUUAUUUUUACGUUUGUCUUUUAAAGCUAAAUACAGUGAUACACACAGCACCAGUCAAAAGUUUGGACACACCUUCUAAUUAACUGUUUAUUCUUUAUUGUUAUUAAAAGUCACUUCAUGUCUUAAAGUAA